rnacentral:rRNA from 1 species
GACGAACGCUGGCGGCGUGCUUAACACAUGCAAGUCGAACGGUAAGGCCCUGCUUUUGUGGGGUGCUCGAGUGGCGAACGGGUGAGUAACACGUGAGUAACCUGCCCUUGACUUUGGGAUAACUUCAGGAAACUGGGGCUAAUACCGGAUAGGAGCUCCUGCUGCAUGGUGGGGGUUGGAAAGUUUCGGCGGUUGGGGAUGGACUCGCGGCUUAUCAGCUUGUUGGUGGGGUAGUGGCUUACCAAGGCUUUGACGGGUAGCCGGCCUGAGAGGGUGACCGGCCACAUUGGGACUGAGAUACGGCCCAGACUCCUACGGGAGGCAGCAGUGGGGAAUAUUGCACGAUGGGCGGAAGCCUGAUGCAGCAACGCCGCGUGCGGGAUGACGGCCUUCGGGUUGGAAACCGCGUGCGCCUGUGACGAAGCGUGAGUGACGGUAAUGGGUAAAGAAGCACCGGCUAACUACGUG